rnacentral:lncRNA from 14 species
GUGAGGGGAGGGGGAGAAGGGAGGGGAGUGAGGGGCACUGCGCAUGCGCGAAGGGACGCGGUGGGGGGAGCGCUAUAGACACGCUUAAAACAUGCAAAUUACAUGCUAAUGAUAUGCUAAUUACAUGCUGAUAACCUGCUAUGCAUUAUGCACCCCUUUUCCAUGUCCUUUCCCCCCCUUAAACCCCUUUCUUACCCAUCUCCCUUUGCACAUAUUUAGCACAUCAUUAGCAUGUAAUUUGCAUGUAAUUAGCAUAUAAUUAACCCCCCAUAGGCAUGAGCACGGUGGCAGAGGCCGCAGCCGCUCGCCACUGCGGCCUGCGGGUCCUGGGCCUCUCCCUCAUCACCAACGCGGCCGCCAGCCAUGAGGAGGAGGAGGAGGAAGGCCCCGAACACGCUAAGGACACGGAACAUGCUAAGGAACAUGCUAAGGAACAUGCUAAGGACACAGAACAUGCUAAGGAACAUGCUAAGGACACGCUAUGGGGCUCAGGGGGGUCUAUCCUGUGUUGUUCCUAUGGAGAUUCCAUGUUGUUCCCAUGUAGUUUAUGGGGGUCAAUGGGUUUGGGUCCUAUGUUGUUGCUAUGUAGACCCCAUGUGAUUCCCAUGUUGAUCCCAUGUGAUUCCCAUGUUGAUCCCAUGUGAUUCCCAUGUUGAUCCCAUGUGAUUCCCAUGUAGAUCCCAUGUUAUUCCCAUGUUGAUCCCAUGUGGUUCCCAUGUAGAUCCCAUGUGAUUACCAUGUAGUUGAUGGGUUGUAAUGGUUUGGAUCCUAUGUUAUUCCCAUGUAGAUCCAUGUAGUUGAUGGGGCUCAAUGGUGUCGAUCCUGUGUUAUUCCCAUGUAGAUCCAUGUUAAUCCCAUGUAGAUCCUAUGAUAUUCCCAUGUAGUUCAUAGGGGUUAAUGGUUUCAAUCCCAUGUUGUUCCCAUGUUGAUUCCAUGUAGUUGAUGGGGCUCAAUGCUGUCGAUCCCAUGUUAUUCCCAUGUAGAUCCCAUGUUAAUCCCAUGUAGUUGAUGGGGCUCAAUGCUGUCGAUCCCAUGUUAUUCCCAAUGGAUUCUGCCUUGUCCCGUGUCCUUGCCAUGUUCUUGUAUGGCCAGCGCUGCCUGAUCCCAAACAUUCCAAUGGCAUUCCUGGAUUCCUGCUGGAAUAUUCCCAUGUCAAUCCCAUGACAUUCCAAUGGAAUUCCUAUGACAAUCGUGUGUUAUUCCCAUGUUAUUCCCAUUUGCCUCCCAUAAAUAUCCCAUGUUCCUAUGUAAUUCCCAUGUUAUUCCCAUUAUUCCCAUGUUAUUCCCAUUGUUCCCUUCAUUCCCAUAUCAUUCCCAUCAUACCCAUG